rnacentral:rRNA from 1 species
CAAGGAGUCUAACAUGUACGCGAGUCAUUGGGCGAACUAAACCCAAAGGCGCAAUGAAAGUGAAGGUUCCCUUCGGAAUUCUAGGGAGGAUCCGUUUAGGACGGCUCGGCCGGUUUAUCCCGGCUGUCCGCCCCGGCGCACUCCCGGGGCGUCCCGACCGCUACUUGCCGGUGGGGCGCACCUAGAGCGUACACGUUGGUACCCGAAAGAUGGUGAACUAUGCCUGGCCAGGACGAAGCCAGAGGAAACUCUGGUGGAGGUCCGUAGCGAUUCUGACGUGCAAAUCGAUCGUCGGAGCUGGGUAUAGGGGCGAAAGACUAAUCGAACCAUCUAGUAGCUGGUUCCCUCCGAAGUUUCCCUCAGGAUAGCUGGUGCUCGGAGAGUUGGACGACUUUAUCAGUCUCAUCCGGUAAAGCGAAUGAUUAGAGGCCUUGGGGCCGAAAUGACCUCAACCUAUUCUCAAACUUUAAAUGGGUGAGAAGUCGGGCUUGCUUGACACAACCGCAAGGUUUGAAGCCUGACACAGGAUGUAAGAGCACCCAGUGGGCCACUUUUGGUAAGCAGAACUGGCGCUGUGGGAUGAACCAAACGCCGGGUUACGGCGCCCGAUACGACGCUCAUUAGACCCCAUGAAAGGUGUUGGUUGCUUU